GCCAGACUCCUACGGGAGGCAGCAGUGGGGGAUAUUGCACAAUGGGGGAAACCCUGAUGCAGCGACGCCGCGUGGGCGAAGAAGUAUUUCGGUAUGUAAAGCCCUAUCAGCAGGGAAGAAGAAAUGACGGUACCUGAGUAAGAAGCACCGGCUAAAUACGUGCCAGCAGCCGCGGUAAUACGUAUGGUGCAAGCGUUAUCCGGAUUUACUGGGUGUAAAGGGAGCGCAGGCGGCACGGCAAGCCUGAUGUGAAAUCCCAAGGCUCAACCUUGGAACUGCAUUUGAAACUGUUGGUCUUGAGUAUCGGAGAGGCAGGCGGAAUUCCUAGUGUAGCGGUGAAAUGCGUAGAUAUUAGGAGGAACACCAGUGGCGAAGGCGGCCUGCUGGACGACAACUGACGGUGAGGCGCGAAAGCGUGGGGAGCAAACAGGAUUAGAUACCCGAGUAUU
rnacentral:rRNA from 1 species